ensembl:lncRNA
GAAAAGAAGCUUCUUUGCAUUUUCUUGGGGAUAUUAACCAGAGAUUAAUUUUAAAGCAUAAUUUUUCAUCUGAAAGUCUCACUAUCUUGCAGGAAUCUAGGAGCUUGCAGUAACCUUAUUGCAAUUCCACAAGGUACUUGUUCUAUGUGUGUAUGGUUAAUAAGUAUACAGAUGUUAUACAGCAUACAGAGAAGUUAGGCUGGUAAGAUUACCGCAUUGGAAAAGAUUAUUAGGUAUAAAUGAAAGGUGCUCACUGGUGUUGAGGCUCACAAAAACUCCCUGAGGAGCAAUCUUCAGGAAGAGAUCCUUCCUCAGUGGCAGUCAGCCCUUAAAUGGGGUCUAGGAGAGGUGGAGCCUGGCUCCACCCCUUCCAGCCACACAGGUGAAUUGCCUUCACCUGUGCUCCUGCAGCUGACUCAGUGCUUGCCUCAGGUGACCAAUCUGAGGUUCAAGCUGAGACUCAACAGUUCCCAUACAAUGUGCUUUUAUGAAUGGGUAAAACGAAGGAGACUGACUUCCCUAAUAUAGAAUAAUCAAAUCCAGUAGUGUCUUAGCAGAAAGUAUGCUACCCUUUAACCAGGGCUACAGGAACUGUUGCAUUUUCUAAAGUAUUUGACAUUAUCAUCUAUUGAUCUGGUGUAAAUGAGCAUAGUAAGGUUUGACAUACUUACACAGAGGAAUAUUCAUGACUAUGUCAGAUCAUAGCAAUUGACUUUCUUCCUUUAGCAUGGCUAAGAUAACUACGUCAUUUGGUUGAUAAUCUCACUAAUUAGCUCUAUUUUUAUUUAUGUAAUCAAUUUACCAUAGGAACUUACUGAACUAAGUGAAGACAUGGAAUGCCUACAGGGAAUUUCUUGGUAGAGGAAAACAAGAAAACAAGUAAUAUCAGACUGAAAUUUUCAGCCAGGUGGUCAUAUGUUCCUAUAGUUCAGAUGUCAUUUUUGCAAAUUAACUACAAACAUUUACCCUUCUACCAUCAUUCACUUCCAUUUUUCGCCAAAUCUUAAAACAUUUUUUUCCCCAAAAAAGAAAACACAUCAUGAGCAUCACUCAAUACUCACCCCAAAAUACUUACAGUUCAACUUUACAUGCGUACUUCAGACUACUGUUCUUUCAGAAAACACCAUUCCCUGUAGCAGUGAGACUCUUAAAUACAUGCUACUGACUAAAAGCAGACAGACAUAAACAAGAACCUUCCUUAAGAUGCUCAUUUCUAAUCUUCAUAAUCACGAAACAUUUUACUCUACACAAGUGUGUAUCUAGAUAAAUCUAUAAUCAACUAGACUUAUAACUACCGACUCCUCAAAACUUCUUAACAGAAUACUGUUUGGAAAGUCUAUUGACUUUCACCUACCGACAGAAAAGUAGAAAAUCUCUUUUAAUAAGGAGUUCUCAUGCUAGAUAUUUCUGUUCCUAUUAUCUAAAGCUAAUGAUUCCUUUGGCUGAAACGUAUCCUUUCUUUACAUGUCAAACACUUUUUUGUAGAUGAUUGUCAUCAAAGAACAUAAGAAAAAUUAGGUGACUAAAGUUGAAAAUAGGAAUAAUAAAAGACAAGGGUCAAAUGGCAGUGAUUAAUACCAUAGUGAUAUUUACCUUUAUUUGCUAUUAACAAUAAAUUUCCUUUGACUUUGCUUUACAGAUUCUAUGCAAAAUGGAACACACAUAAGAGAAAAAAAUAUGGGAUCUGCAGAAAAUGCAAGCUGACAAAACAUUAAAACAAACAUGAUAGAGAUAGCAACAGGAAGAUGGAAAGAACAACACUCUUAUUUUCACAGGUGACCACUAACUUAUAAAGGACCUCAGAAAGAAGAGCAACUACUUGUUCUCACUCACAUUCCAUGACAGUAAGACCCCACUUUCCUGUGGGGAGCAGGUGUAGCUAUCACCUCCCUUUUGGCAGUUUGUUUCAGCCAAGGAGUUAUUACUGCAGCUGUUCAGCUGACAGCAAUUACCACUGGCAAUGGUUGUUAUAUGUGGAUCUCACCUUCUAAAGAUUUCCUCCCAAGAGAGUUGAUGUGCUG